GACGAACGCUGGCGGCGUGCCUAAUACAUGCAAGUAGAACGCACAGUUUAUACCGUAGCUUGCUACACCAUAGACUGUGAGUUGCGAACGGGUGAGUAACGCGUAGGUAACCUGCCUGGUAGCGGGGGAUAACUAUUGGAAACGAUAGCUAAUACCGCAUAAUAUUGAUUAUUGCAUGAUAAUUGAUUUAAAGAUGCUAUUGCAUCACUACCAGAUGGACCUGCGUUGUAUUAGCUAGUAGGUGAGGUAACGGCUCACCUAGGCGACGAUACAUAGCCGACCUGGGAGGGUGAUCGGCUACCCUGGGACUGAGACACGGCCCAGACUCCUACGGGAGGCAGCAGUAGGGAAUCUUCGGCAAUGGACGAAAGUCUGACCGAGCAACGCCGCGUGAGUGAAGAAGGUUUUCGGAUCGUAAAGCUCUGUUGUAAGAGAAGAACGGGUGUGAGAGUGGAAAGUUCACACUGUGACGGUAUCUUACCAGAAAGGGACGGCUAACUACGUG
rnacentral:rRNA from 1 species